AAUAACAAAGCUAACUAAAAUAAAUUUUUGUUAAAAGAAGGUAAUACUUAUUUUGUUUUUACAGGUUCAAGGAAAAGUCAGUGGAAGUCGUUAUCCAUGUCAACAUUGAACCAAAAGAAAAAAUACACUGACAAUCAAUGAAAAGAUUCAAGCGGUUGACACUGAACUAUCAGCUUGACUGUUUAAAUCAGAUUUUUCAUGGACAUAGCACGUGGAGUUCCUUCAGAACAAGUUUAACAGGUCAGAAUUUGGUAUCAGAGCCUGAUCAGAGUCAGAAAUGCAUUCACACAAAGAGGGAGCCUCGUGUGCAGCAUUGGAGCACAAAAGUGGGCAGAGAAACAUUUAAGUGGUGGAGAUGGAAGAAGAAAAUCAACCUGGAUGAGACCCCAGACAGACUGAGGAGAACAUCCAUCCAAAGAUUAUUGACCUAUGCGCUUCAUUAUCAGAACAUGAUAAUACAUGUAGAGCAGAGCACUGUGUACCAGUUACUAAUGCCAGAAGAGGACUCUCACAAUAUGGAGGAUAAUGAAGAUCAUCACAAUACUAGCCACCAGGAAUAGAAGUGCAGAUACUUCUGCCUACUGUCUCCUGGUAUUGGAGUUACCAACAAAACACAAGUCAAGUACUUGGUGGAAAAUUACUUUACUCACAAAAAGAUACAGAGCAAGAUCAGUUUCAAUAGUGGACAUCCGCCACCACAUUCCCCCCUGGAAGACAAUGCAGGGAAAGUGGCCUAUGAGCACCCCAUUAGUGCUGUGGUAGAGGGAUCUUGACACCUCCUCCGGGAAGUCUGAAAUAUCAAAAACUAGGGGCAUGCCUGAGGGCCACUGAAACACAAUGCUUAAGCAGAACAAAGCCAUACUCAUUGAGUCUGAAACAGUAAGAUACUUUCUCACUAAAUCUAAACCUAGGACAGGUACUGCCUUUCCCAAUACAACAGAUUUUAGUAAAUCCUCCAAAUUUGUUUUACUUUGUUCCACUUGUUUCGGUAAUUAUCUAUGCUGUCCCUUUCUAUAUAAAAUUAGCAUAAGCUAGUCAAUACAACAAAAGUACAUACAGGGAAUUAGAUUGGGUUUGCAUUCAUUCUAUAGGUCAAUUAGAGAAUAAUAAACAUUAUAAAAAUAGUGAAUAUUCCAUUCCAUGAAAUCGAUAUAUUUAUUCAUUUACUAAGACAUUUUUGAUUUCUUAGUCAGCAUUUGUAGAUAACAUGCAAAUCCUGUAUCUAUUUUUGUUAACUUUAUACCUACAUAUUUUAUUUUUCCUGAUGCUAUUGUAACUAUUACUUUAAAAAUUAAUUUCCAUGUGCCUAUAGUCCCAACUUCUUGGAACAUUGAGGCAAAAGGCUCACUUAGGCCCAGGAGGGAGUUUGAGUCUAGCCCGGGCAACACAGAACCCCACCUCUAAAAAUUAAAUUAAGUUAAAAUAAAAAAAAAUUUCCAGUUGUUCAUGCCCAUUAUGCAAAUAUGUAAUUGAACUAGUACCCUGGAACAUUCCAAAAUUAUUUUACUAAAUCUGGAGAUUUUGUUAUAGAUCUAUAGACUAUGAAUACAUAUGCAAAUAUCUUGCUUAUAUAAAUAGACUUAUUUUACCAUUUUUAUUCUCUAUGAUUCUUAUUUCUUUGUCUCGUUUUAUUUCACUUACUAGGACUUUUGAAACUAGUGAGAGAGAUCAACAUUGCCUUGAUCCUGAUCUGAAGGGAUAAGUUUACAUGUUCUUUACUCAUGUGUUGAGUUGGUUGAUGAGCUUGUUGAAUGCAUACUUCAUCACUUUUACUGUGUUUUUUUAUUUCUAACAUUUUCAUUAGACUUUAGUAUUUACAGUUUCUACCAGUCCAUUGGUAAUCACACAUCUAAUCUUUUGUGAUAUUCACUUUUUCCAUAAUUGUAUUUAACAAAUUAAUCAGUUUUUUAAAUUUUCUGAAGAGAUUAUUACAACUUCUGUGUCAUAUCUAAGUCUAGUUUAGUUGGUUGCUUUGUCUUACAGCUCUCUGUUACUUUUUUGUGUGCCUUGUAUUUUGGCUAAAAUGUAUACAACUUUUGUUACUAAUAAAAAUGGGCUAUCUUAUCUCUUCUAUUUAUGUAUGUUUUUAUGUUUCCCCACAAUAUAAUAUUUGAUUACAGCAGAUUUUAGUGAAUCUUGGAAUAAGAAAGAAAGUUUGUGGUUUUUUUCCCCAUUUGUUUUGAUAAUUCUAGUUAGUUUUCAUUACUGAUAUGGACAUUGUAUGACAUUUAAACAGAUUUAACUAAUACAUUUUUUCUAAUAGUAUAAAGUAAUUUAUAAAAUUAGAACUUCAUAUUCCAGUGUGGAAUUGUGGACACCUUUUCUUGUCCUGGCCUAAAACCAUUUGUGCCCAAAUACAAAUCAUGUAUAUCACAAUGCAGGAAUAAAAACGUUUAAAAAAUUUCUGCAAAAUAUUAGAGCUUCCUGGAUGUCAUAAGAAAUUAUGCAAGGUUGUUUCUUUUAAUGCUUUAAUUAGAGACUAGAGGAAAUACACAAAUAUAAAAGCAAAGUGUUUUUAUAUUAUGUUUUAUAUAUCUUAUAUACUUAUUUUGCC
ensembl:lincRNA